CUGCAUCACAUGGAUGUGAGAGCCAAUCAGGCUAAUACUUUCAUUUAUUAGACGUUCCUGUGUGAGAUAGCAAAGGUCAGUGCUGCCCAGGAACCCGUGAGAGCUGGGUGCAUGACUGUGCUGGAGACAAGUGCUUCAUUCAGGACCUGACAGUCUGCGAAACCCCAGCUCAAUACCACCGCAAGAAGCAGCUGCAUUUGUGCUUUGGUAAGCAGCUGUUGAAGAACUGUCAUCAUUUAAGCAGUAGCGACUUUCGGAAUACUAUAUAAAGGGGGCACAUAAAAUACCACAGUCAAAACUGGGUGGGAAGGAGGCACUGAUAAUUACCACUACUAAAUUAUACAACUAAAAAAACUAAGUAAAUAUAUUAAAUGUGCACACAUAUGUAUUCAGAGAAGGUAAGUGCUAUAGUUUACAAAUCAGAGCAAAAACAUGGGAGCUAAUCAAAGAGCACUGGUGUUUGCUUUAGUUGCAAACAACGGAGGAAAUCUCUGCUGUUGCAACACCAACAAAUGUUUCCAAAAGAGAAAUUCGAACGUUGGCAGGAGAAGCUUCAUCAGUGUGGCUUCUUCCACUGCUUGGAUUCCCCUUUUGUGAAAGUUUGUAGCCGUUGCACCAGUAAGACCCAAUUGUGUCAAGUUCAGAUGAUUUGUUAUGUACUGUAACAACUGGGAUUUUGUUGGGCACUAAAUGCACAGCCUCAUGCAUCUCCAUGCUGAUUCUGGGAUGAGAUCACAUCCCACCUCCUGGCAUCAAUACAUGGCUGUGCAGAGAGAUCCGUCGGCACCAGCUCCGCAGCAUAUUUGCAGAGCAGACACUUGUCAAGAAGUGCUGCUGGUACACAUUUGUCUCCCUCUAUCCCCUCUGUUCUUUGCCUCUGAAUACACACACACACACACAUAAACUACUUGAUACAUACACACUACCUAAUACACACAGACACACAUACUGCCUGAUACAUACACACUACAUAAUACAUACGCAGACACACAUACUGCCUGAUACAUACACACUACCUAAUACAUACGCAGACACACAAACUGCUUGAUACAUACACUCUACCUAAUACAUUCACAGACACACAAACUGCCUGAUACAUACACAUUACCUAAUACACACACACAUAAACUACCUAAUACAUACACACUACCUAAUACAUACACAGACAAACAUACUGCCUGAUACAUACACAAUACCUAAUACAUACGCAGACACACAUACUGCCUGAUACAUACACACUAACUAAUACAUACGCAGACACACAAACUGCUUGAUACAUGCACUCUACCUAAUACAUUCACAGACACACAAACUGCCUGAUACAUACACAUUACCUAAUAUAUACACAGACACACAAACUGCCCGAUACAUAUACACUACCUAAUACACAGACACACAAACUGCCUGAUAUUUAAACACUAUCCAAUACAUACACAGACACACAAACUGCCUAAUACAUACACAUUACCUAAUACAUACACAGACACACAAACUGGCUGAUACUUAAACACUACCUAACACAUACACUUAUUACCUCUUUUGGAUUCCACUACCACCUGUAAGCUGAUGACACCCAGAUAUAUCUCUCCUCCCUGGACCUCUCUCCUGCCGUCCUGCAGUGUGUCACUGCUUGCCUUUCUUCUAUCUCUGACUGGAUGUCCUCCCGCUUUCUGAAACUCAAUCUCUCUAACACUGAGCUCCUUGUCUUUCCUCCUCCUAAUACUAAUCCUCCUCUUUCACUCUCCCUUCAAGUUAGUGGUAUCCACAUAAGUCCAUCCUUGCAAGCUCGCUGUCUUGGGGUCAUACUUGAUUCUGGCCUCACCUUUGAACCUCACAUCCAGUAUGUUGCCAAAUCCUGUAGAUUCAAUCUUAAAAACAUAGCCUGCACUCGCCCCUUUCUUAGGCAAGAUGCUACCAAGGAGCUUGUCCGUGCUCUAGUAAAUUCCCGCAUGGAUUAUUGGGAUUAUUGUAACCCUCUCCUGAUUGGUUUUCCCAAAAGCCGUAUUGCCCCGCUACAGUCUGUAAUGAAUGCUGCUGCCAGACUGAUUUUCCUCUCUAGUCGGUUCUCUUACACCUCACCCCUCUGUCAGUCCUUACAUUGGCUUCCUGUAUCCUAUAGGAGGCAAUUCAAGGUACUAAUUCACACCUAUAGAGCAUUGAAUAAUUCUAGCCCCUCUUAUAUCUCUUCACUAAUCCAUAGAUAUGCCCCUUCUCGGUCCCUCCGCUCUGCCCGUGACCUUCUCCUGUCCAUUGUUAGCACCCGUAUGGCCAACUACGCUUGCAGGACUUCUCGCGGGCGCCUCCCUUCCUAUGGAAUAGCCUGCUUACCGCCAUCAGACUCUCCCCUAGUCUUUAAUAGUUUAAGAAGUGCCUUUAAACCCAUCUCUUUAGGAAACCUUAUGGCCUCCCAGAGUAACCUCUACUUCACAUACCUGUCUCUUGCUCUCUCCUAAAGGGCAGCACUCUACUCUUUCCUCCAAUUCUGCUUCACUCCCACCUUAUUUUAUUGCUAUUUCCUGUCCUAAUGUGUUUUACACUCCACCUCCUAUAGACUGUUAGCUCGUUUGAGCAGGGUCUUCUUCAACCUAGCGUUCCUGUAAGGUUUCUUGUCAUUGUCCUAUUUAUAGUUAAAUCCCCCUCUCAUAAUAUUGUAAAGCGCUACGGUAUCUGUUGGCGAUAAUAAUAAUAAAUACACAGACACACAAACAGCCUGAUACAUACACACUACCUAAUACAUACACAGACACACAAACUGCCUGAUACAUACACAGACACACACACUGCCAAACACACACUACUAAAUACAUACAUGCAGCUAAAUACACACACACACACACAGAUUGCUAAAUAUACACGCACAGCCUGCUAAAUACACACACACACACACACACACACAGAUUGAUAAAUAUACAUGCACAAACUGCUAAAUACACACACAGAUUGCUAAAUACACACACACAGAUUGAUAAAUAUACACACACAGAUUGAUAAAUAUACAUGAACAGAUUGCUGUUUACACACACACACACAGAUUGAUAAAUGCACACACACACACACACACACACGACUGAUAAAUAUACACGCACAGACUGCUAAAUACACACACACAUAAACUGAUAAAUACAUAUAAACACACACAGCAAAUAGCCCUCUCUCGUUCCUCACAUACUGAAGACAUUGAAAGCAGGCCAUUUCAAUCAACGUGGCACCUGCUGCCAUGCUUUCAUUCCUUUUGUUUCUUGUCAUGUCGCACAGGAACGGAAGCUCGUGGAUGCUGCGCCACUGCGCUGCCCUGUUAAUGUUGUUCAGGGUGUGCCUGUAUACCUGGUGCGCGGGAGAACAGUGUAAUUGUUGCUCCUGCUUACACCCAACAACUUGCCUUCCGAGCAGGGAGGGUUGUAGAUAGGUUGUAGAUACCAUGACCGGUACCCUUUGAAAUGUGACCUCAUUUGAUGGCCUCUGGACUGUAUGUUUGGAUGGAUUACAGUGUUUCUGUGUUUUUAUUUAGGAUCCUGCAUCCAGUGUGCCAGUAUCAUCUACCCUGCUCUGUGAGCAGUGAUUGUGUAGUGAAUGAAUAGAGGUCAUGGGAUCAGGACUUGUACAGAUCAUUAUACAGGGGAAUUCAGCUCACAAGGGACCAAAAUCUGAACCAUCAACAAGAAAACUGAACAAAACGUACAGUUUUGCAGUUCAGUUGGAAAAAUUGUGUCCUGCAAAGUGGGGAACAAUAUGUCAAUUUUAUUAUUAUGUUACUUUUAUAACUAUUUUUUUUCACUCUUAUUAAUGGUGCAUUAGAAGGUUAUUGAAGAUAUUGUUAUUUUAUUGUAUUGCAUUUUAUUCACAUUUGAGUAUAUGUUGGCUGUCUAUUUAUUGUUCCAGGGUGUGGUUUCCCCGAGAAGUAUAAAAUCACUGAGUGGAGACCCUGUACAUUUAUUUAAUCAAGAUGUCAGAGACUCCCUGCUCCAUCGGAGACUUGGAUGAUUCCUACAAAGCUGCAUGUGUAACUAUCCAGCCUGCGCCACCUUCACCGAACCUGGGUAAGUAAAGGGUUACAUAUGUGUAUGCUGUAUAAUUAAUGGGAUUUCUAUAUGUGUCUUAUGUGGUGGAAUUGACUGUAUGGGGACUGGAGAUAAAUGUGUUUGAUGGGUUAGGUUCUCGAUGGGUUGGGUUCUCGAUGUGUCUGAUGAAGCGCAUGUGAACAAGCAAUGUUUUACGCAUGGGAGUAUGUAUAUUUUUCAUAGGAAUUGUAUGAGGGCUGCAAAAGUGCACUUGUAGUCUCAUCAUUAUAAUCAAAACAGUGAGAUAUAUGGUCUGGGAAAGCAUUUAAAG